UCUGGAUGAUGUGGUCGGGGCAGUUGAUCGAUGUGUCGGGGCGAUCCAAGCCCCCGUGUCGAGGCACUAGUAUGGUGAAGCGUCUCAGGCUGUGAGUAGAAUAAAAUAACACUGCAUCUGGUUAACCCAGAGAACACAGUCCCUCAUUGAUGUGUGGGAAGGACCAGAACUGCAGAUGCUGGUUUGAACCAAAGAUAGACACAAA